GUCCGGGUGACGCAGCAGUUAGCGUGUAGCGUGUAGGAUUGCAAAUCCUGAAGUCCCCGGUUCAAAUCCGGGUCCGGACC
rnacentral:tRNA from 2 species